rnacentral:rRNA from 1 species
UACGUAGGGGGCAAGCGUUGUUCGGAAUUACUGGGCGUAAAGGGCGCGUAGGCGGCACGGCAAGUCAGGUGUGAAAGGCCUGGGCUCAACCGAGGAACUGCUUUUGAGACUGCCGAGCUAGAGUGCAGAAGGGGCAGCUGGAAUUCCCAGUGUAGCGGUGAAAUGCGUAGAUAUCGGGAAGAACACCUGAGGCGAAGGCGGGUUGCUGGGCUGACACUGACGCUGAGGGGCGAAAGCCAGGGGAGCAAACGGG